GUGAGGAAUAUUGGUCAAUGGGCGGGAGCCUGAACCAGCCAAGUCGCGUGAAGGAAGAAGGAUCUAUGGUUCGUAAACUUCUUUUGCAGGGGAAUAAAGUGCGGGACGUGUCCUGUUUUGUAUGUACCCUGAGAAUAAGGAUCGGCUAACUCCGUGCCAGCAGCCGCGGUAAUACGGAGGAUCCGAGCGUUAUCCGGAUUUAUUGGGUUUAAAGGGUGCGUAGGUGGUUUGAUAAGUCAGCGGUGAAAGUUUGCAGCUUAACUGUAAAAAUGCCGUUGAAACUGUCGGACUUGAGUGUAAAUGAGGUAGGCGGAAUGCGUGGUGUAGCGGUGAAAUGCAUAGAUAUCACGCAGAACUCCGAUUGCGAAGGCAGCUUACUAAGCUACAACUGACACUGAAGCACGAAAGCGUGGGGAUCAAACAGGAUUAGAUACCCCGGUAGUCC
rnacentral:rRNA from 1 species